rnacentral:rRNA from 1 species
UCAAGCUACUAAGGGCAUACGGUGAAUGCCUUGGCACUAAGAGCCGAUGAAGGACGUGGUAAGCUGCGAAAAGCUACGGGGAGCCGCAAGCAGGCUUUGAUCCGUAGAUGUCCGAAUGGGGGAACCCACCAUCCGUCAUGGGAUGGUAUCCUUCGGGAAGGGAACCCGGUGAACUGAAACAUCUAAGUAGCCGGAGGAAGAGAAAUCAAACGAGAUGCCCACAGUAGCGGCGAGCGAAGAGGGCAGAGCCUAAACCAGAGAGCUUCGGCUCCCUGGGGUUACGGACUGGCAUAAACCGAGUCAGGCCUAGCUGAAUCACCUGGAAAGGUGAGCCACAGACCGUGAGAGCCGGGUAGGCGAAAGGCAGAGCAAGGGGGCCAGUAUCCAGAGUACCGCGAAGCACGAGGAAUUUUGCGGGAAGUCGGGGGGACCACCCUCCAAGGCUAAACACUUCUUAGUGACCGAUAGCGCAUAGUACCGUGAGGGAAAGGUGAAAAGAACCGCGGGAGCGGAGUGAAAGAGAACCUGAAACCGUAUGUCUACAAGCAGUCGGAGCGUAAGCGACGGCGUGCCUAUUGAAGAAUGAGCCAACGAGUUACGGGCACCAGCGAGGUUAAGCAGAAAAUGCGGAGCCGUAGGGAAACCGAGUCUGAAAAGGGCGGAUAGUUGGUGUUCGUAGACCCGAAACUGUAGUGAUCUACCCAUGAUCAGGUUGAAGCACGGGUAAAAUCGUGUGGAGGACCGAACCGGUGAGUGUUGAAAAACUUUCGGAUGAAUCGUGGGUAGCGGUGAAAUUCCAAUCGAACGCAGAGAUAGCUGGUUCUCCUCGAAAUAGCUUUAGGGCUAGCCUCAGGCAGUAAGCAUAGGCGGUAGAGCACUGAUCGGGAUAGGGACUGUAAUGGUUACCGAACCCUGUCAAACUACGAAUGGUUAUGCUGCAGAGCCUGGGAGUCAGACUACGAGAGAUAAGUCCCGUUGUCAAAAGGGAAACAGCCCAGACCAUCAGCUAAGGUCCCCAAUGCCAUACUAAGUGGAAAAGGAUGUGGGGUCUCAUAAACAACCAGGAUGUUGGCUCAGAAGCAGCCACCAUUUAAAGAGUGCGUAAUAGCUCACUGGUCGAGAGGCCCUGCGCCGAAGAUUCCCGGGGCUAAAGUAUGGAACCGAAGCUAUGGAUGCAUACGUAGGUAUGCGUGGUAGAGGAGCGUUCCCAUCGGGUUGAAGUCGUCCUGGAAGGGACGGUGGACUGGUGGGAAGUGAGAAUGUUGGCAUGAGUAGCGAAAAGAAUGGUGAGAAUCCAUUCCACCGAAAGCAUAAGGAUUCCUGAGCAACGAUCGUCGUCUCAGGGUAAGUCGGGACCUAAUCCGAGGCAAAGAGCGUAGGAGAUGGACAACUGGUUGAUAUUCCAGUACCGGCAGUGAUCGUUUGAACGAAGGAGUGACGCAGGAAGGCAGGUCCGCACGAGAUUGGUAGAUCGUGUGCAAGCGUGCAGGCUGGUUACCAGGCAAAUCCGGUAACUGAGGCUGAGGCGUGAUGCGGAGGGAACUUGUUCCCGAAGGGAUUGAGCCUACGCUGCCGAGAAAAGCUUCUAGUGAGAAAGCUGCCGCCCGUACCGUAAACCGACACAGGUAUGCGGGGAGAGAAUCCUAAGGUGCGCGGGAAAACCCUCGUUAAGGAACUCGGCAAAAUGUACCCGUAACUUCGGGAUAAGGGUAGCCACAAAGGUGAAGGGACUAGCUCCCGGAGCCCGGUGUGGUCGCAGAGAAGAGGCCCAAGCGACUGUUAACCAGAAACACAGGUGCCUGCGAAAGAGAAAUCUGAAGUAUAGGUGCUGACACCUGCCCAGUGCUGGAAGGUUAAAGAAGGAUGUCCGGGUUCGACCCAAAGCAUUCGACUGAAGCCCCAGUGAACGGCGGCCGUAACUAUAACGGUCCUAAGGUAGCGAAAUUCCUUGUCGGGU